rnacentral:rRNA from 1 species
UAGCGUGAGAGACUACUACCACUCCUUAUUUUUUAAUGGGUACUGUUACACAGUAGUGCUUUUGUCUAUUUUAGUUACUAAUUUGAUAGUUUACAAAUAGUUCCGCAAGGAUAAGAAAACAAAAAUAAGAAAUGAGCUUUCCUUUGGCAUAAUGACUGCUCCAGCUACACACUAAACAAGUAAUUCCCGAAAAGAAAAGAUCUACUAAAUACUUAUCUUAGUUAAUAGAGAAAUAAACUGUACUGUGGCACCAGUACUCACAAAAGUGUUAGUAGUGGCGAAACACCAAACGAUUUUCUUGAUAUCUGGAUAGGACCGAAAUGUGUGCAGCACAAAAGACAGCACACCGAUGUUAAGAUCGGUGUGCAUAAGAGCAUUAAGAAUGUCUUAACUUGUUUAUAUAGAAUAGUAUUCAAAAAUAAAAAUAAACAGGCAAAAACUGAUAUUGUGAUGAAUCUUUUCACAUAAGACCUAAUGAUACCUAGUUAUUAGUAACGUGGUUGAUGAGUAGAUAAGUAUUUCUUUUAGUUAAAACACAAUAAAGGAACUCGGCAAACUAAGCCCUCAACUGUUUAUCAAAAACAUAGCCUGUAGAAAUUUAUUUUAGGCGGUCCCUGCCCAGUGAAAUCAUUAAAAUUUUCAACGGCCGCAGUACCUUGACUGUGCAAAGGUAGCGUAAUCAGUUGGCUUUUAAAUGGGGUCUAGAAUGAGUGGGUUAUUGGGGGUAAGCUGUCUCUAUUUGUGUUGUUUAUAACUUCUUCACGGGGUGAAAAUACCCCUAGAAUAUAGAAGGACGAGAAGACCCUAGGAGCCUAAAAUAAAAAAGCUUUUUAACUUUUAUUUUUUUGUUGGGGCGACAAAGGGUCAAAGUACAAACACCCUAAAGUUGAAAUUUAAUGAGACGGUGUUUAAAAGACUAAGAAGGUUACCCUAGGGAUAACAGCUUAAUAAUUUUUUUGUUUGAGACCUCGAUGUUGGACUAGGGACCAAAAGACAAGCAGUCUGUCUGGCAAGUUCUGUUCGAACUACUUAACCCUACAUGAUCUGAGUUCAGACCGGCGUAAGCCAGGUCAGUUUCUAUCCUCUAUAAAUUACCUCUUUAGUACGAAAGGACCGAGAAGGUGGGAAAUUAGUUUCC